rnacentral:tRNA from 1 species
GGUUCUAUGGUGUAAUGGUUAGCAUGCUGGACUCUGAAUCCAGCGAUCUGAGUUCAAAUCUCGGUAGGACAU